AUGUUGACCUCGAAUCAGGUAGGAAUACCCGCUGAACUUAAGCAUAUCAAUAAGCGGAGGAAAAGAAACCAACAGGGAUUGCCCCAGUAACGGCGAGUGAAGCGGCAACAGCUCAAAUUUGAAAUCUGGCUCUCGGGCCCGAGUUGUAAUUUGUAGAGGAUGCUUUUGGUGAGGUGCCUUCCGAGUUCCCUGGAACGGGACGCCAUAGAGGGUGAGAGCCCCGUCUGGUUGGACACCGAUCCUCUGUAAAGCUCCUUCGACGAGUCGAGUAGUUUGGGAAUGCUGCUCUAAAUGGGAGGUAUAUGUCUUCUAAAGCUAAAUACCGGCCAGAGACCGAUAGCGCACAAGUAGAGUGAUCGAAAGAUGAAAAGAACUUUGAAAAGAGAGUUAAAAAGUACGUGAAAUUGUUGAAAGGGAAGCGCUUGUGACCAGACUUGGGCUUGGUUGAUCAUCCGGGGUUCUCCCCGGUGCACUCUUCCGGCUCAGGCCAGCAUCAGUUCGCCCUGGGGGAUAAAGGCUUCGGGAAUGUGGCUCUCUCCGGGGAG
rnacentral:rRNA from 1 species